AGCUGCGAUAAAUAGUGCGAAUUGCAGACGCAUUGAGCACAAAAAUUUCGAAUGCACAUUGCACCAUUGGGUU
rnacentral:rRNA from 1 species